rnacentral:rRNA from 1 species
UCGGGAAUUUUGGGCAAUGGGCGAAAGCCUGACCCAGCAACGCCGCGUGAAGGAUGAAGUAUUUCGGUAUGUAAACUUCGAAAGAAUGGGAAGAAUCAAUGACGGUACCAUUUAUAAGGUCCGGCUAACUACGUGCCAGCAGCCGCGGUAAUACGUAGGGACCAAGCGUUGUUCGGAUUUACUGGGCGUAAAGGGCGCGUAGGCGGCUUUGUAAGUCACUUGUGAAAUCUCCGGGCUUAACUCGGAACGGCCAAGUGAUACUGCAAAGCUGGAGUGCAGAAGGGGCAAUCGGAAUUCUUGGUGUAGCGGUGAAAUGCGUAGAUAUCAAGAGGAACACCUGAGGUGAAGACGGGUUGCUGGGCUGACACUGACGCUGAGGCGCGAAAGCGUGGGGAGCAAACCGGAUUAGAUACCCCAGUAGUCCCUGAGCGGGCUGGCAAGGCGCAU